ACGCGAAGAACCUUACCGGGGCUUGACAUGGUAGAAGUAGAAUCCUGAAAGGGUGACGAUCGGUAUCCAGUCCGAAGCUAUCACAGGUGUUGCAUGGCUGUCGUCAGCUCGUGUCGUGAGACGUUGGGUUAAGUCCCCUAACGAGCGAAACCCUUGUCUUUAGUUGCUAACGGGUAAUGCUGAGCACUUUAGAGAGACUGCCGUCGUUAAGACGGAGGAAGGUGGGGACGACGUCAAGUCAUCAUGGCCCUUAUGUCCCGGGCUGCACACGUGCUACAAUGGUCGGUACAAAGGGAUGCUAAGUCGCGAGAUGGUGCGAAACCUAUAAAGCCGAUCUCAGUUCAGAUUGGAGGCUGAAACUCGCCUCCAUGAAGUUGGAAUCGCUAGUAAUCGCGGAUCAGCUACGCCGCGGUGAAUAUGUUCCCGAGCCUUGUACACACCGCCCGUCAAGCCACCCAAGCAAGAUGCACCCAAAAUCGCCUGCCUAACCCGUAAGGGAGGGAAGUCCCUAAGGUGUCGC
rnacentral:rRNA from 1 species